GAUGAACGCUGGCGGCGUGCCUAAUACAUGCAAGUCGAGCGAACGGACGAGAAGCUUGCUUCUCUGAUGUUAGCGGCGGACGGGUGAGUAACACGUGGAUAACCUACCUAUAAGACUGGGAUAACUUCGGGAAACCGGAGCUAAUACCGGAUAAUAUUUUGAACCGCAUGGUUCAAAAGUGAAAGACGGUCUUGCUGUCACUUAUAGAUGGAUCCGCGCUGCAUUAGCUAGUUGGUAAGGUAACGGCUUACCAAGGCAACGAUGCAUAGCCGACCUGAGAGGGUGAUCGGCCACACUGGAGCGGAGACACGGUCCAGACUCCUACGGGAGGCAGCAGUAGGGAAUCUUCCGCAAUGGGCGGAAGCCUGACGGAGCAACGCCGCGUGAGUGAUGAAGGUCUUCGGAUCGUAAAACUCUGUUAUUAGGGAAGAACAUAUGUGUAAGUAACUGUGCACAGCUUGACGGUACCUAAUCAGAAAGCCACGGCUAACUACGUG
rnacentral:rRNA from 1 species